rnacentral:rRNA from 1 species
GAUGAACGCUGGCGGCGUGCCUAAUACAUGCGAGUCGAGCGAACAGACGAGGAGCUUGCUCCUCUGACGUUAGCGGCGGACGGGUGAGUAACACGUGUAUAACCUACCUAUAAGACUGGGAUAACUUCGGGAAACCGGAGCUAAUACCGGAUAAUAUAUUGAACCGCAUUGUUCAAUAGUGAAAGUCGGUUUUGCUGUCACUACUAGAUGGUUCCGCGCCGCAUUAGCUAGUUGGUAAGGUAACGGCUUACCAAGGCAACGAUGCGUAGCCGACCUGAGAGAGUGAUCGGCCACACUGGAACUGAAACACGGUCCAGACUCCUACGAGAGGCAGCAGUAGGGAAUCUUCCGCAAUGGGCGAAAGCAUGACGGAGCAACGCCGAGUGAGUGAUGAAAGUCUUCGGAUCGUAAAACUCUGUUAUUAGGGAAGAACAAAUGUGUAAGUAACUAUGCACGUCUUGACGGUACCUAAUCAGAAAGCCACGGCUAACUACGUG